rnacentral:rRNA from 1 species
GACGAACGCUGGCGGCGUGCUUAACACAUGCAAGUCGAACGGAAAGGCCCUGCUUUUGUGGGGUGCUCGAGUGGCGAACGGGUGAGUAACACGUGAGUAACCUGCCCUUGACUUUGGGAUAACUUCAGGAAACUGGGGCUAAUACCGGAUAGGAGCUCCUGCUGCAUGGUGGGGGUUGGAAAGUUUCGGCGGUUGGGGAUGGACUCGCGGCUUAUCAGCUUGUUGGUGGGGUAGUGGCUUACCAAGGCUUUGACGGGUAGCCGGCCUGAGAGGGUGACCGGCCCCAUGGGACCUGGGAUCCGGCCCAGAGUCCUACGGGAGGAAGAGGUGGGAAUAUUGCACAAUGGGCGGAAGCCUGAUGCAGCAACGCCGCGUGCGGGAUGACGGCCUUCGGGUUGUAAACCGCUUUCGCCUGUGACGAAGCGUGAGUGACGGUAAUGGGUAAAGAAGCACCGGCUAACUACGUG